CUCCCCACCACGGACUUCGGAGAAUCCCUCGAUCUGAAGCAACCUGGUGCGCGAGCCACCGAGCAGCCGCUGACCCAGACUGGAGAGGUUCAGCUCGAACGCCAGGGCCGGAGGAAUGCUUUUGCUGGUGUACGAAUGGUUAAGAGCUUCGAAAUAAAGUUACGGUGUGUGGAAUUAA
rnacentral:lncRNA from 1 species